rfam:Beta vulgaris subsp. vulgaris Bvchr4.sca003.con0089.1, whole genome shotgun sequence.
GUUGAGGGGUAUGUUGUCUGGCUCGAGGUCAUGAAGAUUGAUUUUUUUUCUUCUUCUUCUUGUAUUGUUUACUUUCUUUUUUUUUUAGUAAAUUAUGUAUUGGUUUUUCCAUAUAUAUAAUUUGCAUAAAAAAAAGGAAAAAAUAAGAGAGGAAAACCCUAAAAAUCUACAUGAUUCUCGGACCAGGCUUCAUUCCUCCCAAC